rnacentral:tRNA from 1 species
GCCGACGUGGCGGAAUUGGUAGACGCGCUAGCUUGAGGGGUUAGUGGGGUUUCCCGUGUCGGUUCGAGUCCGACCGUCGGCA